rnacentral:rRNA from 1 species
CGCGUAGGCGGCUCGUGAAGUCGGGUGUGAAAGCCCGGGGCUCAACCCCGGAACGGCAUCCGAUACUGGCGGGCUUGAGACCGGGAGAGGAGGGUGGAAUACCCAGUGUAGAGGUGAAAUUCGUAGAUAUUGGGUGGAACACCGGUGGCGAAAGCGGCUCUCUGGCCCGGAUCUGACGCUGAGGCGCGAAAGCGUGGGGAGCAAACA